rnacentral:lncRNA from 1 species
GGGUGGAUGUAUUUAUAGGCUAGGGAGAGGACCACCAUCUAAUUAAGGUGGUAGUGAUGAGUGUUGUGGUAAUGAAUGGAUGUAAUGGGUGUAGUGGAUGAAUGUUUGGUAAUGAGUGGAUGUAAUGGGUGUAGUGGAUGAAUAUGUGGUAAUGAGUGAAUGUAAUGGGUGUGGUGGAUGAGUGUUUGGUAAUGAGUGGAUGUAAUGGGUGUAGUGGGUGAGUGUGUGAUGUCCAUGUUUCCCUUUACAUUUGCACACACAUGACCUCCAUCAUUUCAGUCACAAAUCAACCCAUUUUCUGCCCAUGUGUGUGUGUUUCAUUUGCCCAUGUGUGUGUGUUUUUCCUUUGCAUUUGCAUACACAUGUUCUUCAUUAUUUCAGCUAACAAUCCACCCAUUUUCUGCCCAUGUCAAACUGUCCAUGCCUUGCCUUUCUCUUUGUGUGUGUGUUGUCCAUGUUUCUUCCAUGUGCCUUGUUCAUCUUCUAGUUGUGCAUUUCCACUUGCUCCAAAGCCAAAUGAGUGCAAUCAUAACCCCAUUUGCUGCUGAGUGUUGAUGACAAAGCAAAACACAAAACAAGUGUCUUUAAUUUAUCAUUUUAUUAGCCAAAUCUGCUUAGCCCUUUUCUGAACCUUUCAGUGUUACAAUGCCCAUAACUUCUUCUAGAAAAAUGAUAUUAACAAUCCGUAAAUUCCUCCAGAAAAUAGACAUCCGUAGCUUUCCACGCAUAUAAGG